rnacentral:rRNA from 1 species
AUUGAACGCUGGCGGCAGGCCUAACACAUGCAAGUCGAGCGGAUGAAGGGAGCUUACUCCUGGAUUCAGCGGCGGACGGGUGAGUAAUGCCUAGGAAUCUGCCUGGUAGUGGGGGAUAACGUCCGGAAACAGGCGCUAAUACCGCAUACGUCCUGAGGGAGAAAGUGGGGGAUCUUCGGACCUCACGCUAUCAGAUGAGCCUAGGUCGGAUUAGCUAGUUGGUGGGGUAAAGGCCUACCAAGGCGACGAUCCGUAACUGGUCUGAGAGGAUGAUCAGUCACACGGAAACUAAAAAGCGUCCCAAAUCCCACGGGAAGGCACAAGUGGGGAAUUUUGAGCAUUGGGGAAAAGCCUAAACCAACCAUGCCGGGGUGUUGAAAAAGGUCUUCGGAUUUUAAACCCCUUUAGGUUGGGAGGAAGGGCAGUAAGUUAAGACCUUGCUUUUUUGCGUUUACCAACAGAAAAAGCCCCGGCUAACUUCGU